rnacentral:rRNA from 1 species
UACAGAGGUCUCAAGCGUUGUUCGGAUUCAUUGGGCGUAAAGGGUGCGUAGGCGGCUGUUCAAGUCGAACGUGAAAACUCGGAGCUCAACUCCGAGCCUGCGUUCGAUACUGGAUGGCUAGAGUCUGGUAGGGGGAUCUGGAAUUCCUGGUGUAGCGGUGGAAUGCGCAGAUAUCAGGAGGAACACCGGUGGCGAAGGCGGGAUCCUGGGCCAGUACUGACGCUGAGGAGCGAAAGCGUGGGGAGCAAACAGG